UUCAAUAGCUCUCUUUCUCUCUCUGUCAGAUCUGAACGACACCUUCAGUGAAGGCAACAAUGACACGGUGGGCCAAAUUGUUCACUACAUCAUGAAAAAUGAAGCCAACUCCGAUGCACUCAAAGCCAUGGUUCAGGACAGUAUAGAAUCGGAGGGUUGGCAGAGUGGAAGGACAAAAUAAAUAGAGGGAGAAGGUGAGAGGAGAAGACAGAUAAAGCAGCCGGGGAGAGAGUUGGUCUGUCUUUUAAAGUAACUGCUCCAAUUGUGCUGUAUUUCAGCUCAAAUAUAGUACC